rnacentral:rRNA from 1 species
GUCCACGCCCUAAACGAUGUCGACUAGGUGUUGGGGAAGGAGACUUCCUUAGUACCGCAGCUAACGCGUGAAGUCGACCGCCUGGGGAGUACGGUCGCAAGAUUAAAACUCAAAGGAAUUGACGGGGACCCGCACAAGCGGUGGAUGAUGUGGAUUAAUUCGAUGCAACGCGAAAAACCUUACCUACCCUUGACAUGGUCGGAAGCCUCUCGAGAGGGAGGUGUGCCCGAAAGGGAGCCGACACACAGGUGCUGCAUGGCUGUCGU